GUGCCAUAAAUUUCACCCCACAAGGACUCUUUGGAAGUAGGACACGGUAGGAAAGCCACCUCAAGCACGUGGAGUGAAAGUUGGGGAGGUGAGCUUUCCCAGAGCAAAAUGGGCACUGCUAUUAGAACAAGUAAGUAGAUUCUGGCUACCAAAAACUGAGUUUAGCUAGUGUGAACUGAAUUUCUGAGGGACCCACCUGACAUAUUGAACCUUUGCACAGUUGACAAUUAUUCCCUGGAUUGCCCCCAAGAUGCGGCACUUCCUGAAAUUUGGCUCAAAACAACUUAUUCCUCGCUUCUCUACAAAUGUUGAAAAUGUCUGAGGUCCCAGGGAAGUCAGCAGCCAUGUCGUGAGGACACUCAAGCAGCCCUAUGAAGAGGUUCAUAUAAGAAGGAGCUGAGACCUCCUGCCAACAGCCAACACCAAUGUGCCAACCAUGAGAGUGAGCCAACUUGAAGUGACUCCUCCAGUCCCAGUCAAGUCUUCAGAUGACUACAGCCCUGGCUGACACCUUGAUUGCAACCUCAUGAGAAACCCCAAGCCAGAACCAUCUAACCAAGCUGCUCUUGAGUUCCUGAUUCACAGAAACUGUAUGAGAUCAUAAAUGUUUAUUGUUGUUUUAAGCCAAGAAGUUUUGGUAUUUUGUUAUGCAGCAAUAGAUGAAAGCAGACAUUGUAAGAAACAACCCUAAUAUACUAUUUGCUGCAAUAACGAUAACAUUGUUUAUUAGGGGUAUUGUCUGUGAGUUUUGGCAACUUACUUCAUCUUGCUACGCUUCAGUUUCCUCAUCUCUCAAAAGGGACUAAUUAAUAGUAUCCAUCUUUCACAAUGUUUAUAGCAUUAACUGAAAUAAUAGAUGUAGAUAUCUUAGAGAAUAAAAUGGAAUCAUAGAUAGCCCAUAGUAGAAACUCAAUAAAUAUCAUCCAUCAUUAUUAUUUGCUUUUAUUUUUAUGACUAUCAUUUUUAAAUUUUAAUUUUAACCAAAUCUGCUUCUCCUCCCAUUUUCAAAAAUCAGAAACACAAUGAUCCAGGCAGUCAAAAUACCAGAAACCUAAAUAUUAUCCUUGACUGAAUUUAUGCUCAUUCUUUACAUCCAAUC
rnacentral:lncRNA from 1 species